CCUACAGGUGGCAGCAGUGGGGAAUAUUGCACAAUGGGGGAAACCCUGAUGCAGCGAAGCCGCGUGAGUGAAGAAGUCAUUCGUUAUGUAAAGCUCUAUCAGCAGGGAAGAAAAUGACGGUACCUGAGGAAGCAGCCCCGGCUAACUACGUGCCAGCAGCCGCGGUAAGACGUAGGGGGCCAGCGUUAUCCGGAUUUACUGGGUGUAAAGGGAGCGUAGACGGCAGUGCAAGUCUGGAGUGAAAGGCGGGGGGUCAACCCCCGGACUGCCCUGGAAACUGUAGGGCUGGAGUGCAGGAGAGGUAAGUGGAAUUCCUAGUGUAGCGGUGAAAUGCGUAGAUAUUAGGAGGAACACCAGUUGCGAAGGCGGCUUACUGGACUGUAACUGACGUUGAGGCUCGAAAGCGUGGGGAGCAAACAGGAUUAGAUACCCCAGUAGUC
rnacentral:rRNA from 1 species